GGAUGUGAGGGCGAUCUGGCUGCGACAUCUGUCACCCCAUUGAUCGCCAGGGUUGAUUCGGCUGAUCUGACUGCCUAGGCGGGUGUCCCCUUCCUCCGUCACCACUCCAUGUGCGUCCCUCCCGAAGCUGCACACUUGGUCGAAGAGGACGACCAUCCCCGAUAGAGAGGACCAUUCUUCGGUCAAGGGUAUACGAGUAACUGCACUCCCCUGCUAGAACCUCCAAACAAGCUCUCAUAUAAAUAUAUGAAGUCCAUCAACCAUAUACCCUUACCUUAA
rnacentral:snRNA from 1 species